UUACUUCUGUUCUCUGGAUUAGAGCUAGUGGACCAGAGACGACAAGCACUGUGUCUGGUCCGAAAUUCUUCAACUUCCAGUGACUUCCACUAUCGAUUUCUGGAUGUUCUCUCUGAUUGAAAGGCCAAGGUGUUUUUAUUCGUGGUUUUAAAGAUGGGGAACAAAGCUACAACAACUGUGAAAGAAGAACGCGAAGAGAUCCACUUGAAGGUUGUACCUCCAGUAGACAGGGCUUUUAUGCGUUGGCUUGCAAGAGAUCUACAGAGAGUUCAGGGAUUCAAACCGAAGAACACUCGUGCCAUCACUCCUCCUGAUAGCUACAUCGAGUUCAUGCGGUUGAAUGGAUCGCUUGAUGUUGAUUUGGAUGACCCUGAUCUUGCCCAUUUGUUCAAGUAAAACAAAAAUGGUGGCUGCGUUUCUUUCUUUUUUUUUAAACAGCUCAAGCUUUUUCAAAGUCUUAGCGUCUCUUUUGAUUACUUUACACUUGAGCUUGUGUGUUUAAAUGGGAUACAAGUGUCUGCAUUCAGAUAAACAAAUGUUUUCUAUUCAGUUGUCUUAACAUUGCCAAAAGUUGUAUGAGCUGGUGGAUUUAAUUUGGAUUUUAUCUCAAAACUCAAAACAUAAAUAGUUUUCUG